AUGCGCGGCGAGAACCUGCUCGUCGGCACUAACUUCGCGUCCGCCGGCAUCGGCAUCCUCAACGACACAGGCGUGCAAUUCGUGAACAUCAUCAGGACCGCGCAGCAGCUGCAGAACUUUGAGGACUACCAGCAGAGGCUGGCGGCGUACAUCGGCGAGGACGUGGCGAGCGAGCGCGUGAGCCAGUCGCUGGUGCUCAUCACGCUCGGCGGCAACGACUUCAUCAACAAGUACUUCCUUGUGCCCUUCUCCGCUAGGUCCCAGCAGUUCGAGAUCCACGACUACGUCCCCUUCAUCAUCUCCGAGUACAAGAAAGUCCUCGCGGUAAUAACAAUUAACCUCUUCGCUUACUUACCACUAAUCAAUUCCCAAACAUGCAUAAUUUCUGCUCCAAAACAUAAUUGCAUUUGUAAAACAUGA
rnacentral:rRNA from 1 species